UACGGGGGGGGCAAGCGUUGUUCGGAAUUACUGGGCGUAAAGGGCUCGUAGGCGGCCAACUAAGUCAGACGUGAAAUCCCUCGGCUUAACCGGGGAACUGCGUCUGAUACUGGAUGGCUUGAGUUUGGGAGAGGGAUGCGGAAUUCCAGGUGUAGCGGUGAAAUGCGUAGAUAUUCGGAGGAACACCAGUGGCGAAGGCGGCCACCUGGACUAAUACUGACGCUGAGGUGCGAAAGCGUGGGGAGCAAACAGG
rnacentral:rRNA from 1 species